rnacentral:lncRNA from 1 species
AGGGGAUGCCAACAAACAUAGAGUCCCUCCCCAAAGAGCUAUUGAUUGAAAUCCUCCUCCGUGUCCCGGCCGAUCAUCUCUACGACAGAGCGAGGCUCGUGUGCUGGCGGUGGUACCACAUUAUCCAUUCUCACGCCUUCAUCAACGCGCCGAUGCACUGUGCUACCUAUGGACUCCUCCUAUCACCCCUAUAUCAUAAUACUCUGCCACUUUAUGUAACAGCCGACGCAGACGGUGGAAUCCACACAUCUGAGCUAAAUCACAUAUCCAAAUUGGGAGUUCUUGCUACCUGCAACGGUUUGGUUCUGGAGAUGGUUCGGCUGAUGGAUGCCAAAGGUCACCGCCUCCCUUGUCUUGUAAAUCCUGCAACAAAGCAGUCAUUCCUCCUCCCACCAUUGCCUACACGCGGAGGCUAUGACCUCAAGUAUAGUUUUGCAUACUCUGCAGCUUCCUUGGUGUAUAAAGUGAUUGGACCAACCUUUGUUCGCCACUAUGAACCACACGCACGAAAGGACCUCGGUCUCAGCGUGCUCACUGUUGGAGUCGAUGAAUCCUGGAGGCAAGUCGAGGUUCACCACCUCCCCGACCAUGUGCCAUUUUUCUUCAACGUGGGUCCCGUGACUAGUGAAGGUUUCCUGCACUGGGGAAGGGGGAGAUACUGCGUGACGAUGGAUGUGGAGACGGAGAUCAUUACACUGAGUGAAGCCCCUUAUGAGUACAAUGAACGCAACUAUUAUUAUCUGUCGACUGGGAGGUGUGUGUCGCUCCUGGUUGCGUGUGGGGAUCUGUCGUGGGAGGUUUGGGAGAUGAAGGCAGAGACGGGCGAGUGGAGGAAGGCGCUGCCCAACGUCGACUUGGGAGCUCACAAAUGCAGGAUUCAAGAGCUUGCUCCUGAAGCUGGUCGAGUUCUUAAGCCACUUGGUUGGGUUAAAUAUCCACAUGUUUUGGCCUUUCUAUUUUUGGCGCCUAUUGUUAUGGUAGCCAACGGCGGCCUUGCAUCUUGUACAAUCUUGAUACGCAUCAACUCCACUCCAUAGAGAUACCAGAAUCCUAUGCUGGUGGUUAUCAAGCUUUUCCGCAUAAGAAUAAUCUGAUAUGGCUCAGUUAAACGAGUAUUAGCAUCGUUAUUAUUGUUUAUAUUUGGUUUAAGUUAAAUGAGUUUAUAUAUUAUAUCAUGCAGAAACAUUAUUAUAUAAUUUCUAAUUAUAGUAAGUUGUAUUAUAUAUUUGAAGUGUAUAUAUGUGACUUUUCGUGUGUUUCAUUUAAAAUACUCCCUCCGUCCCGCUAUUCAAGUCCCAUUUUCCUUUUUGGGUUGUCCCACCGAUAAUGUCCCGUUUCCUAAAAAGGAAAUAAUAAGGGGAUGUUAUCACUAAUUAACUCACUAAUUAACUCACUAAUUUCAUGCUACCUACCGGACUCCAACCCACCAUUUAAUUUUCUCCCAUUUUCUCCAUUUGAGUCCGCCGCAAGUCCGAAACCCUAAAACUACUCUCUCUCUCUUCUCUCACUCGAAUCGCGAUCGGCGCUCUGCCUCUCCGAUUCUCCGACGCUCCGUCGUCGACUUUCUUGGGUUUCAGCCGCCGUCCUCUGCAUUCGUCUCUCACCUUCAAUUUUUCCAUGAUCCCUGUGAUUUACUCCGUCAAAAUCUGAAGCUCUCUCUCUCUCUCGCUUUCUAUUUCGUCGCCUUUGGUCGAAAUCUGAAGCUCUCUAUCUCUCUUUCAUCAUUUUCUGAGGGAUUCCACCGAUUCAUGCGAAAUCAACGCAGAGAAGUCCGAUUUGCAUGGAUGGUUGAGUUGGAGACUUGGAUCCAAUUGUUGGUGAUUGAAGAUGAGCAAAGGUUGGCGUCGCCGGGCUGAGAUCCAUGAAGGUAAAUGAUUUCGUCUACACCUAGUCUUCCUCCGGUGAUGUAUCGUUUCAUCUGGAAACCCUAUUUCUUACCCUGAUUCUUUUUUUCGUGUGAGGAAAACUGGCAACAAGGGAUAUGCUGAUGCUGUGUUGUUGAUGUUGAAAAGCAUGCUCCUGAUUUUUUUCGGUGAGAUCUACCCUAAUCUUCAUUUACAAUACUGGUUUGAUCUCGUGUGGGAUUUGUUGGUUUAGGAAGUUGCAUGUGGGUUUUGCAGUGUUAGUCAUAUGUGGUAUGUGUGGUCCAUUGGUCUGAAAUGAUGAUUGAUGCUCAACUUUAUAGUCCCUACUUGUUUGGUCCAAUGAUCUAUGAUUAAAUGCAUUAUUUUGACUAUGAGUGCACCUGAUUCUUACUUGUUCCCCUGUUCUUACUGGCUUGUGUGUCCAGUUGUUCUAGUUUAUGUUUUGGGUGUGUGGUGUUGUUUAUGUGUGCUGUUGGUUAGGUGUGGUUGAAUUGGUGUUAUGUGUGGCUGUUGUUGAUUUGGUGUUAUUGUUGGUUGCUGAAACUGAUGGUGUUGGGUGGCUGCUGUUGUUUGAUUUGGUGUUAUUGGUCUGGUGUUAUUGGUUUUGCAGACUCAAUCACAACAUCAAAGCAUUAUAGCAUCACAUUAUAGGGCAUUAUCAUCCACAUCAUUUCCAUUUACAAAAUAGAAACCUUUCUACUGAGUCUUGGAAAUGCAGACUGCAAUCACAAGCAUUCAUUUACAAAAAAAAAACCUUUCAUCACAGGUUAUCUACAAAAAAGUUGCAUCAUUUACAAAAACAUCCACCUUGCACUCCCAUAUCACAUAACUUCAGUUGAUUGAAUUUGAAGUUGAUGCACCAUCACUCAACCUCAUCUGUGCAACCUGCAUUAACUCCCAAAUUCUGCAUUAGUGUAUCACUAAUUGACAAGCUCCAUUGUCAAUUAGGUAGGAUAUGCACUCCCUUACAAGUUCACUUGGAACUUGGAGAUUCAAGGGCAGCAUAUCCUGCUAAUCAAAGCAUCCUUCCCUAAAUGAGGGUCUUAUAGCUAUUCCUCCCCUUCACUUUCAGAAUUUCCACCAUACAACUUUGCAAGCUUAAGAAAACUUUAUUUAAAGUUGUUGGGCUUAACUCAUUGAAUGAAUUAAUCACUGCAUUCACUAGGCCAUCCACAUUUGUAGACACUGAUUCAGUUUGGAGGCUUUGUAUUGCCCUAAACCACCCCAAAUCAUUAAUGUUUGUGUCUGGGGAGUUUGGUGGUUGAUGCACCAAGUGAAUAUCAAAGCCAUCAGCUGAAGCAACAGCCCUGAAAUCAGGGUCUGAGUCUUGAAUGUGAGGCCUUGCAUUAUCUUGCUGAAUAAAGAUGGUUUUGCUUGCAUUGGCUGGCCACUUAGCUUUAAUAGCAGAAUUAUCUGUGUUUUUCCAAAAAAAACAGAAACUAACUCAGCAUUCAUUCUUACAUACCCACUGCAUUACACCUUACAAAGCUGUGCUAUGCAUAAACAGUCAUAAUACACAGUGCAUUGCAUGUCUCAAAUAUCUAAGCAUAAUAGAAAUAAAUUGAACUUGGAACAUGCUAUUGUUAAUUUAGGGCAUAUCUCAUUCACCUAUAUACCUGGUAUAUCAGGCAGUCUUUCACCACUUGUUUGGUGAUGCUUUGAAUUGGCUUCCACUCCAUAGUGCCUGCAGCCCUGUUCUUACUUUCCUUUUUGCUGGAACAAGUUCAGUGAAUGGAAAAAUUCCAAUUUUUCCAUCAAACAAGCACUCACCAUUAGCCCAAAACUGGCCUACAUACAGCACACAUGAACAUACCUUGGGAUGAACUUCUUGUUCUUGCAUGUCCUAUGAGGUUCUACGAGUUAAGUAGAACCUUUGUGCACUUUUUGUGAUGUAGAACCAUUUCUCAUCAAUGUGGACUGUGUUGUGCAUGCUUUUAAAUGUCAAACUCCUCAUAAUCCUAUCAUAUUCUAGAGCUUCUAAGGAAAACCGUAGCCUAAGAAACUUGUUUGGAGCUGUGAGAUCAGGUUUAAUUGCAUUCGAAUGAGCCCUGAUCAGUCCAGUUUUUGCCCAUCUACCCACUGUGCUUUUACUGCAUUUAACCCCACAUGCAAGCUUUCUAAUUGUUGAUCUUUUUGACAAAUCUAGGCUAGCAAUUAACUGUAAAUCCAGAGCUACAAGUUUUCUCCUUGGUCUCAUUAUUUUCUUACUCACCGAACUCAUUACCUCACCAUUUGCUCUUCGUUCUUUUGCAGCUGCCCAAGUACGACUGAUCGUCCGCCGGCAGCAGCUCCAUCUCUGAACAGCAGCAGUGAUCUUCCCUCGAGAUGGCUUUCCAUUUUUGCUUCCUUCAAGCAGAAACUCGAUGAUGGCAGCCCUCUCAAAGGAAGAAAGAUCCUUCCUUCUAGCCAUGUGGAGCAAAGUGUGGUGUUUUGAGUGUUUUUUGUUUUUGGGAGUUUAGUUUAGUGAUAGUGUUGGCUGCCCUAUUUAUAAAGGGCAUAGCAAUCUGAAACAAUUUGAAAAUUGUGGGAAAUUUGAAUGUUGGCCAAUUUUUAAUGCUAAAGCUUCUUUUUUUUCAACUGCCGCCACUUUUUUUGUCCAUUGCAUUGUGUUUCAAUUUUUUUAAGUUAAUGCAUUCCAGUUUAGUUAGGCAGAUUUUCGAAGGAAAUUGUCAACUUAUGUCCAUUAAUUUUUAAUUUAGGCAGGUAAAAAUUUCAUUAAACAAGCAUAAAAUUAAUAUAAAUAAAAUUACAGAUUAUAUAAAAAUAAAUUAAAAAAUUAAGUCUUUUAAUAAUAAUAAAUUAGAAAUAAUUAGUUAUUCCUUAAACACAAACUAAAUCAUGUGGACCACACUCUUAAAUCAUCUAAUUUGCUUCUCCUUAAUCUCCGUGCCGAAAAGAAAUGGGACUUGAAUAGCGGGACGGAGGGAGUAUUUCUCUUUUUAUAAAGAGGCUAUAUAACUUAUUAAUUUUAUGACUUGGUGCUUAAAAAUUAAUUCUCACUUAUUUGAAGAUUGUUAAGUCCAUGCUCGUACAGAUUUUGUCUUUGAAAUUUAGGUUAGAGAUUAAUAAUAAGAAUAUAUACGUUUGAUAAGCAGAUGGUUGUCUAUUCUCUGCAUUUCAGAUUCUAAUUAUGUUUUGGGUGGAUAAAACACAUGUAUUUGGGUUAACAGUGUUUCAAGAUUAGGUUAGAGAUGAAAUUCCGUUUGCAUAUAUGUUUCACAAGAAAGAUUUUGUCUUUGAAAUUUAGGUUAGAGAUUAAUAUAAAAAGACAUCGAUAUUGAUAUGCAUAUUAUGGCUGUCUUAUUCUCUGCAUUUAAGUUUUGGGCAGAUAAACACACUUGUAUACAAAUUAGUGAAUUGGUUAGUCGAUGGAUUAGUAGAUGAGACAUAUUUGCAGAUGAGACAUUUUUAUGACAAUAUCUGUAUUCAAUAAGCAGAUGAUAUACAAUAGAAGUCGGCCUUAUUAUUUCCGAAGGUGCAAAAAGGAGAGGCCAACAAGCAUAGAGUCCCUCCCCACAGACCUAUUGUUUGAAAUCCUCCUCCGUCUGCCGGCUGAUCAUCUCUACGAGAGAGCGAGGCUCGUGUGCGGCGGUGGUACACAUUAUCCAUUCUCACGCCUUCAUCAACGCGCAGAUGCACGGUGCUACCUAUGGACUCCUCCUAUCACCCCUAAAGGAUAAUAUUCCGACACUUUAUGUAACAGCCGACGCAGACGGUGGAAUCCACACAACUGAGCUAAAUCACAGCUCCAAAUUGGGAGUUUUUGCUUCCUGCAACGGUUUGGUUAUGCAGUUGGACGACGAACACUUCUUUCAUCUUGUGAAUCCUGCUACAAAGCAGACAUUCCCCCUCCCUCGAGACGUGUCCUCUGCCCCGCACCUGCUCAAGUAUGGUUUUGCAUACUCUGCAGCUUCCUUGGCGUAUAAAGUGAUUACACCGUACAUUUUCAUUCAAAUAGAAACUGAGUACGGUCUUGACGUGCUCACCGUUGGAAUCGAUGAGUUCCGGAGGCACGUUGAGGUUCACCACCUCCCCGACCAUGUCAGGCCAAUUUUCAUCGAUGUGGCUCCCUUGACUAGUGAAGGUUUCCUGCACUGGGGAAGCGGGAGAUACUGCGUGACGAUGGAUGUGGAGACGGAGAUCAUUACACUGAGUGAAGCCCCUCAUCAGUACCAUGAAAGCAACUAUUAUCUGUCAACUGGGAGGUGUGUGUCGCUCCUGGUUGCGUGUGGGGAUCUGUCGUGGGAGGUUUGGGAGAUGAAGGCAGAGACGGGCGAGUGGAGGAAGGCGCUGCCCAACGUCGACUUGGGAGCUCACAAAUGCAGGAUUCAACAGUUGAGUAAUGGAGCUCUUAAGCCACAUGGUUGGGUUAAAUAUCCACAGGUUUUGGCCUUUCGUUUUGGCGGUUUUUAUUUUGGGAAGAGGUUUUGCGUUUUCUACAAUCUUGAUACGCAUCAACUCCACUCCAUAGAGCUACCGCAAUCAUAUAGUAGUGGUUAUGAAGCUUUUCCGCAUAAGAAUAGUCUGAUGUGGUUAAGUUAAAAGAGUAUUAUUGUUAUUAUUGUUUAUAUUUGGCUUAAGUUAAAAGAGUUUAUAUAUAUAUAUAUAUAUAUAUAUAUCAUGCAGAAACAUUAUUAUUUAUAACAUUGUUCUUAAAUUAUAGUCCAGACUUUGGUAUUUAUAGUUGUUGUUUAUUUGAUAGCUUGAGUUAUUUUUCUGGGGCAAUUUAAAGGGAAUUUUCGUUGUUUUUCAGCAUCUAAAAACAAUAUUUUAUGAUGUUUAUUUCUUCAAGACACAUGAUGAGCUCAUGUUGUCCGAAUAUUUUGGCAUGUUACCUGUUCUUAGUGUAAGAGUAGAAUAUUUAUAAUCACUUUUGAAUGGACUGAUUGUGACCUAUAACAAUCACAUUGCUAUUCAAUUACAAAUCAGUGUAUAUUUUGUUUGAAUGAAAUUAUGUAAUACAAGCUCGAAAGUAAGGCAAAGUCAUUUUUGCAAUAACUCAUAUACACUACCACAUUACCAAACACGCCAAAAAUAUCUGCUACAAAAUCUGAGUCUAAGCAAACAAGUAAUUUCUUUGUACAAUACAUUAUUCAAAUUACACUUAGUACUAUGCUAUGUAGAUCCAUCUGUUGUUGUGCUUAAAUGCGGUGAGAUCAGAAGAAUGAACAUGUACCAGAUUUUGGAGAAAAAGUGUGGAAAACAGUGGAACUGUGGAAUGAAAUUGAUACUUAACCCUUUUGUAAAUUUUGGUUAAAAAGUAACCAUGAAAUCAGAGUUGAGAGUAUAUAUAUAUUUUUAUUAAUAACCCUAAUAAUAAUGAUUCCUACAUUUUGGGGGGUUUUGGUUGUUUUGAUAUUUUUUGCUAUUCAUUUUCUUUUAAAGUGUAAUCACUUGUACUUUUUAAAUUAUUUAAUGAGAUACUGUUAUUGGAAAAAUAAGUGAGAUUAAGCAAUGAUUUUUUUACUUGCUGGAAUUGGUAAUUUAUAUGAGUUGGUUUGUUUUGAUGACUGUGUCUCGGGAAAUUCAAUUAUAUCAUAUACGUUUCGAAAUUACACUAUUUGAGAGUUGGUUAGAAUUUUAUUCAAUUGUAAACCAAAAAAAUUGGGGGUUUUUUGUUUGUGAUAAAAACUAGUAAUUUUUUGAGUCGAGUUCAUUAUAUUAAGUUUUCAUGGUGCAUGUUUAUCUUCAUAAAUACGAUUUGAAUAAAUUUUAGCUAAAGGUUAUCUAACUCGAUUUGCUUAUUUAUAUAUGAUAUUAAUGGAGACACAUUAUUUGAAAGGGCCCCAUCUUUCCAAAUACCAAAGCAUAAAGAAGACUAGUUAUAUAGCCCGGGUUACUAAAAAUCUGAUAUUGAUAUGGUGAUUGGGUUACUCGGUAUCAAGGAAACUCACGACUACACGAUGUAUUUAAGUCAUUUCACGUUAAUUUUACCAAAGAAGAAUUUAUAGUUUGAGAAUGCUUCCCAAGGAAGGUUCAAGUAGGGGUGGUAAACCGGUCGGUUCGGUUUUAACCGAACCGGUUUACCGGUUAACCGGAACCGGUUAAGAGGAAUUCCUCUAACCGAAAACCGAACCGGUUUUUUGACCGGUUAACCGAUUAAUAGACUGUUUCUCAAUUUGGCAGAAUUAACCGGUUAAUUCGGUUAACCGAAUUAACCGGUUUUUAUUUUAAAAAAUUCAAAAAAUGGGAAUAAAAAUAGAGAGAUUAGAAAAAUGGGAAUAAAAAUAGAGAUUUGCCUCAACCUCCUCAUGGAAUGUUGACUUGGUUAAUAAAUCAAAGACAGAUGUGCAAGAAAGUGAAACUCCAACAAUUUAGGGGGGUGUAUUCGUUGUGGAUUUCCACAGACUUUAAAAAGUCCAUGGAUUUUAAAUUCCAUGGAAUUCACAUAGAUUUCAGACGACUUUCAAAGAAUUCGUGGUUGGAUUUCACCCCGAUUUUCACAGAUUUUCGAAGAAUUUGGGGGAUAAUUCUUGAAUUGAAAUCCAUGAUGCCAACGCACGCUGAAACCCAGCACCGCUGGAAACCCAGCGAGCGCUGGAAACCCAGCAUGACUCCAUAACCAAAAACAUCGGUCUUUUCUGAGGAUUUUCCUGUGGACAAGUACUCGGGAGCUAUGUGGCCCAUCGUUCCACGCACCUGAGUUGUAAUGUUGGCUUUCCUGACAUCAACCAACUUAGCCAAACCAAAGUCACCAACAACAGCUUUAAAAUCUUCAUCUAGCAGCACAUUUGCAGCUUUAACAUCACGGUGAAUGAUUUUAGGAUUACAGUGUUCGUGGAGGUACUCCAGCGCACGUGUUGUGCCUAACGCCACCAAUUUUCUGGUCACCCAAUCCAAUAGAGGGUUCCCGGGUUUAACCUCUGUUCAGAUACGAAAAUACAGAUAAAUAUAACUCAGAUCUUCUACUCAAUUUCCUAGUCUCUUUUGAUAAAUGAGCAAAGAAAGAGAAGCAGAAAUGAGAUGAUACCUCUCAAUCGAGAGGCAACACUCAAGUUUUGCAUGAAAGGGUAAACCAGAAGGCGUUCAGUUGGAGUAGUGCAAAAGCCAAUCAAACGCAAAAGGUUUCUGUGAACAGCCACACUUAUCAUCUCAACUUCACGCUGAAAUGCUGUAUCGCCCCCAGGACUCUCAAAAUCCAUCAAACGUUUUACAGCAACUUUGGUGUUAUCACCGAGAAUCCCUUUAUAAACCUUUCCAAAGCCCCCCUGGGCCCAACGACCGCUGCAAUCCAGCGGCCGCUGGGAACCCAGCGCAUGCUCAAACCCAGCGAGCGCUGGCCUUCUCAACGUAUGCUGAGUUCAGGCGCUCGCUGGCUUCUUAGCCGCGGGCGCUGGAACUCAGCGCACGCUCAAAAUUCCAUAGAUUUCAAUUCUCGUGGUUCUUGGCCGGAUUUCGUCGUGUGUAUUUUUUGGAUGAAAUCCAUGAAAGUCAUUCCGGAUUUGAAGUCAAUGGAAUAACGAAUACACCUAGAUUUGUAUGGAUUUUAAAAAGUCUGAAACGAAUACACCCAGAUUUAUAUGGACUUUUAAAAGUCGGGAACGAAUACACCCAGAUUUCUGCAGACUUUUAAAAGUCUGAAACGAAUACACCCAGACUUUUAAAAUCCAUAGAAAUCUAUUAAACUCCACAACGAAUACACCCCCCUUAGUAAAGACAGAUGGGAAAACACAGGGUGUUUUUAUCCUUACAUGGUCUGAAAUGGAGUGGGUGCACUUGAAACAUAUGGAGUAGUAUUAUUGAAGACAGAUAUAAACAAAUGAAUUUACAACUUAUAUUGUUAAGAUGCAUACAUUCAUGGGAACUCAGCGGCACUCAAGGCCUAAUGAAGAAAUAAGAAGAAGAAUUAGUUUUGAAGAUCUCACACAUUCCAAAUCCCAGAUGUGAAUGUGCACUGGAAAAACGACGAUUGUAUUAGAGACUAUCUCUUCUAUCUCUGCUGCCUGCUGCUAUUACUGGAGGGAACAAUCGGCGGAGGAGGCGAGCCUGGCGGAGUGAGCGACGCCGGAAAAGUGACGAGCUGCUGUUGCUGCCGGAGGGAAAAAUCGGCGGAGAAGGCGCCGGUCCAAGGGAUGAGCACCGCUGCUGCCGAAGGGAAAAACCGGCGGGGGACGACGCCUGCAGAUUGAGCGACGCCGGCAGAGCGACGCUGGCGGAGGGAAAAAUCGAAGGGAGGGGCGGUGUCGUGCUGUACUGCUGCUGCCUGCUGGCGGAGAAAGGGAGGGAGGCGCCGGUGCCGGUGGGAGAGGCAGCGGCGCCGAUGGGAGGCGGGGAGAGGAGGCCGAAACGGGGAGGGGUGGAGAAACGGCUGGAAGCAGGAAAGUGGAAUGGAUGGAACGGCUGAAACUUGAAAGCCCUAAUAUUAAGGACUUAAUGUGGCCGAGUUUUUCAGUUUUAAUAAAUUAAUUAAAUUAAAAAAAACCGGUUAAUCAGUUUAACAGGUUAACCGACCGGUUAAACCGAUUAACCGGUUAACAGUGAGAGUACUAACCGAUAACCGAACCGAACCGGGAAAAACCGGUUUUUGGUUAACCGGUUUUUCCGGUUCGGUUACGGUUUUAACCGAAAAAUCGGCACCGGUUUACCAGCCCUAGGUUCAAGCACUCACACCCUCCACCGUCAGGUGUUGUUUGGCUUGACGUAGCUAUCAAAUUGAGAUGUCAAUGUUGAGGUCAAUUGUGAAUCCUAAACAAGGCUACUAUUGUUGCCCAAUAUGGAAGGUAUCAAAUUUCGUUCUAUUUUCUGCUAAUGUUAUUCAAAAGAUGAAAAUUUUAGAGUUGUAUUUGAAUUUAUUCAAUUAAAAUUUUAGAGUUAAUUUAUUUAAAUUUUAGAAAUAAUUCUCAAAGUCUGCAUUAAUUUGACCACCAAAAAAUUUGUGUUCAAAUUAUUCUGAUAAAUAAGUUAAUGUAUUUUUUUGUCGUAUUAAAAAGAAAAAAAAAGUUCGCUUGUACCAUUUACAUUUGGAUUUGGGCGGAAACUGCUGCAUUUAUUUGGACCCACACCCACCUCUCCGCUUGUAAUUUAUUUACUCCGCCGCCGCGUUCUACACAAUUCACCGGAAAUCGAAAAGUUGAAAUGCUUCGUCCGAAACUAGCCAACCGCAAGCCGCCACCUCCACGGCGCUCCUGCACCGACGGCAGCGAUUCGGAUCCCCAUUCCGACAUUCUUAGUAGAGAAUCGGUAAGCACCCUCCCUCAUAUUUCAUAUGCGUAUACAUUUCAUAAGAAAAGGUUUUUUUAUUUGAAAUUUAGGUUAGAGAUUAGUAUAAAAAGACAUUGAUAUGCAUAUGGCUGUCUUAUUCUCUGCAUUUAAGUUUUGGACAGAUAAAACACAUUUAUACAAAUUAGUGAAUUGGUUAGUCGAUUGAUUAAGUAGAGUGAUGAUGUUGUACCAAAACAAAAAUUUGUUUAAUAGCUGUCUUACUCUCUGCAUUUCAAAUAUUUAGCUUAAAUUUGGGGCAGAUAAAACACUUGUAUACAAAUUAGUGAAUUGGUUAGUCGAUUGAUUAGUAGAUGAGACAUAUUUAUGACAAUAUCUGUAUUCAACAAGCAGAUGAUAUACAUUAGAAGUCGGGCUUAUUAUUGUAAAAAGGAGAGGCCAACAAAUAUAGAGUCCCUCCCCAAAGAGCUAUUGUUUGAAAUCCUCCUCCAUUUGCCGGCCGAUCAUCUCUACGAGAGAGCGAGGCUCGUGUGCCGGCGGUGGUACCACAUUAUCCAUUCUCAUGCCUUCAUCAACGCGCAGAUGCACGGUGCUACCUAUGGCCUCCUUUUAUCACCCCCAAACUGGAUUAAUACUCUGCCACUUUAUGUAACAGCCCACGCAGACGGUGGAAUCCACACAUCUAAGAUAACUCACCUCUCCAAAUCGAGAGUUGUUGCUACCUGCAACGGUUUGGAGUUGGAAGCCAAAGGUUACCAAUUCCCUCGUCUUGUGAUUGUGAAUCCUGCAACGAAGCAGUCAUUCCACCUCCCACCAUUGCCUACAAGCGUAAAUGUAAUCUAUGCCGUGCUCCGGUAUGGUUUUGCAUACUCUGCAGCUUCCUUGGCGUAUAAAGUGAUUGCACCGUACCUUUUUGGCCAAUCGCCACCACGCCUAGAAACUGACUGCGGUCUUGACGUGCUCACCGUUGGAAUCGAUGAAUCCUGGAGGCACGUUGAGGUUCACCACCUCCCCGACCAUUUCAGGCCAUUUUUGUUCUUCAUGGAUCCCUUGACUAGUGAAGGUUUCGUGCAUUGGGGAAGGGGGAGAUACUGCGCGACGAUGGAUGUGGAGACGGAGAUCAUUACACUGAGUGAAGCCCCUCAUCAGUACCAUGAAAACAACUAUAAAUAUCUGUCGACUGGGAGGUGUCUGUCUCUCCUGGUAGCGUGUGGGGAUCUGUCGUGGGAGGUUUGGGAGAUGAAGGCAGAGACGGGCGAGUGGAGGAAGGCGCUGCCCAACGUCGACUUGGGAGCUAAGAAAUGCAUGAUUCAACAGCUUGCUCCUAAAGAUGCUCCUCGAGUUCUUGUGCCACUUGGUUGGGUUAACUAUCCACAGGUUUUGGCCUUCUAUUUUGGCGAAGAUAUUUAUCAUGGGUGCCAAUGGCGGCCUUUCAUUUUCUACAAUCUUGAUACGCAUAAACUCUACUCCAUAGAGCUUCCACAAUCCAAUAUUAGUGAGUAUGGGGCUUUUCCGCAUAAGAAUAAUCUGACAUGGCUAAGCUAAAAGAGUAUUAUUGUUUAUAUUUGGUUUAAGUUAAAAGAAUUUAUAUAUUUUGGGGCAAUUUUAAAAAAUAUUUUAUGAUGUUUAUUUCUUCAAGACGCAUCAGCUCAUGUUGUCCAAAUAUUUUAUUUUAGUGAAAGAGUAGUAGUGUUGAAGGAGAUAGAAUAUUUAUAAUCACUUUUGAAUGGACACCUAUAACAAUCACAUUGCUAUUGGAUUACAAAUCAGCGUAUAUUCUGUUUGAGAAUAUUUUGAAUGAAAUUAUGUAAUACAAGCUCAAAAGUAAGGUAAAGUCAUUUUUGCAAUAACUCGUAUACACUACCCAUUGUCAAACACGCCAAAAAUGGGGUUAGAUCCAUCUGCUACAAAAUCUUAGGCAACGUGGUUUUGUUCGCAAAUUAGGCAAACAAGUAAUUUCUUUGUACAAUACAUUAUUCAUUUUAGACUUAGUGCAUGUUUGGUUCAAGUAGAGGAAUUGAAAGAGAAUGGAAUCAAAUAGAGGAGUGGAAUGGUUUUAAUAACUAUUACUUUUAUUGAGUGUUUGGUUUAACCAUGGAAAUGAAUCAUUAGUAAGGGAUUCCCUUUCCUUUUGUUUUCCCUCUAUUUUGAGGGAUAAUAAAUUAGGUGAUUGGGUUACCCUCAAGUCAGGGUAAUGGUUAACUCAUCACCCAAACCAAACAUUGAGUAAUGGAUUCAAUUAAUUGAUUCCCUUUCCAAUCUCUAAAAACACCCAACCAAACGUGGGCUAAUAGUGCUAUGCUAUGUAUGUAGAUCCAUAUGUUGUUGCUAGGAAGCACCGGUACGUUUUUGGGUGAAGCGUCCUGGUAUUAAUACCAAAAAAUACCAAGACGUUAAAAAUACGCCUAAACGAUGUAUUUAAUACGUUUUUUCGUAUUUUUUUUAAACUUACUUUUAGGGUUGGGAAAUGCGUAUUUAAUACGUUCUCGAGACGUUUUUUGACUAAAAAAUACGUCUGACCAGAUUUAAAAAAAAAAGAAAAAAAAAGAAAAAAAGAAGAAAACCAGACCCACUCUCAUUUCUCUCGUAAACCUUCACCCACCCUGCGCAAGAAGACAAGGCAGCGCCGUUCUCCGCCACCGAUCUGGACCGCCGCCUUCUGGACUGCCGUAAUUGCUAAGAUUAUCUAAUUUUUGUGGGUAUUUAACGUAAGACAUCAGUGGGUAUUUUUUGGAAUUGAAUCUUUGAUUUGUGUGAGGUAGGGUGAGUGGGUUAACUAAUACUCCCUCCGUCCCAUUGGGCUUGUCCUAUUUGGUUUCGGCACGGUUAUUAAGGAGAGUAGUAGUAGUGUUAAGUGUGUAGAUAAAGUAGGAGAGAGAAGGUGAUAAAGUAGGAGAGAGAAAGUGAUAAAGUGAUAAAGUAUGAGUGUUAUUUAUAGAAAUGAGACAAGAUGGUGGGACAAACAAAAAAGAAAUACGGGACAAGAUCAAUGGGACGGAGGGGGUAAUUGAUUGUUUAUUGCUAUUGGGGUAUAUUGGCGGUGGGUAUGGGUGAGUGGGUUAAUUAAUAAUUGAUUGUUUAUUGCUAUUGGGGUAUAUUGGCGGUGGGUAUAUUAAUAUUGGGGUGGGUAGCAGAUUGCCUAAUUAGGCUAAUUUGUGAACUAACUUCUAAGUUUUAAUAAUUAAGUACUCCCUCCGUCCCAUUAUUCAUGACACGUAUUCCUUUUUGGGUUGUCCCAACCUACAUGACACAUUUCCUUUUUUGGAAAAAAUCAGGGGGCAUUUAAGCAUUAAUAUAUUCGCUAAUUAUCCACCUAAUCACUAAUUAUCCACCUAAAACUCAUUUCCUACUUCUUCUUCUCUCUCUCCUUCCCCCACCUACCAGCCGCCUCCCUUCUCUUCUAAAAUUCUCGGCCACCACCGCCCGUCGAUCUGCCGGCCACCACCGUCAUUUCCUCUCUUCCUCUAUUCUCAGUUUCUCACGCACCCACUCAACCAGUGAACCCAAAUCCUAAGUCUUCGCUCGUCGCCUCCACUUUUCUCUCUCCGUUGAAGAGCGCCGCCGCCGGCUUCGCUCUCCCCUCUCUCGCCAAAUUUUUCCGCUCGAUUCCCGGUGACGACAGCCAACCUCCGCCGCGCCCAAGCCCCUGCCUCCCUCUCUGAUCACUCCAUCGUGCCUCCUCCGUCGUCGACGAAAUCUUCAGCCCCACCGCCAGGAGACGCAGCAGCGGCGCGGUCCGCCUCCACCCUCGGCGUAGCCCCUUUCCGCCUCCACUCUAGUUUCUGGAUUAUCAAUUUUUGUCUUCAAUACUUGGGUUUCAAUGUUUGUGGGUAGAUCUGGUUUUGAUAUUUGUUUCGAUUUUGAUAUGGUGAUUGGGUUACUCGGUAUCAAGGAAACUCAUGACUACACGAUGUAUUUAAGUCAUUUCACGUUAAUUUUACCAAAGAAGAAUUUAUAGUUUGAGAAUGCUUCCCAAGGAAGGUUCAACUUCAAGCACUCACACCCUCCACCGUCAGGUGUUGUUUGGCUUGACGUAGCUAUCAAAUUGAGAUGUUGAUGUUGAGGUCAAUUGUGAAUUCUAAACAAGGCUACUAUUGUUGCUCAAUAUGGAAGGUAUCAAAUUUCGUUCUAUUUUAUGCUAAUGUUAUUCGAAAGAUGGAAAUUUUAGAGUUGUGUUUUGAUUUAUUCCAUUAAAAUUUUAGAGUUAAUUUAUUUAAAUUUUAUAAAUAAUUCAUCAAAGUCGGCAUUAAUUUGACCACCAAAAAAUUUGUGUUAAAAUUAUUCUGUUAAAAAAGUUAAUGUAUUUUUUUGUCGUAUUAAAAAUUAAAAUUCUUCCAAAGUUUAUAUCCGCCAAUUAAAAAGAAAGAAAAAAAAAGUUCGCUUGUAUUUACAUUUGGAUUUGGGCGGAAACUGCUGCAUUUAUUUGGACCCACACCCACCGCUUGUAAUAAUUCAUUUACUCCGCCGCCGCGUUCUACACAAUUCACCGGAAAUCGAAAAGUUGAAAUGCUUCGUCCGAAACUAGCCUCCCGCAAGCCGCCACCUCCACGGCGUUGCUGCACCGACGGCAGCGUUUCGGAUCCCCAUUCCGACAUUCUUAGUAGAGAUUCGGUAAGCACUCUCCCUUAUAUUUCAUAUGCAGAUGCCUCUCUUUCAAAAUUAGGUUACACCUCAAAUUCCUUAAUUAUGCGUAUACAUUUCAUAGAAAAGGUUUUUUUAUUUGAAAUUUAGGUUAGAGAUUAGUAUAAAAAGACAUUGAUAUGCAUAUGGCUGUCUUAUUCUCUGCAUUUAAGUUUUGGACAGAUAAAACACAUUUAUACAAAUUAGUGAAUUGGUUAGUCGAUUGAUUAGUAGAGUGAUGAUGUUGUACCAAAACAAAAAUUUGUUUAAUAGCCGUCUUACUCUCUGCAUUUCAAAUAUUUAGCUUAAAUUUGGGGCAGAUAAAACACUUGUAUACAAAUUAGUGAAUUGGUUAGUCGAUUGAUUAGUAGAUGAGACAUAUUUGCAGAUGAGACAUAUUUAUGACAAUAUCUGUAUUCAACAAGCAGAUGAUAUACAUUAGAAGUCGGGCUUAUUAUUCCCGGAGGUGUAAAAAGGGGAUGCCAACAAACAUAGAGUCCCUCCCCACAGAGCUAUUGAUUGAAAUCCUCCUCCGAUUGCCGGCCGGUCAUCUCUACGAGAGAGCGAGGCUCGUCUGCCGGCGGUGGUACCACAUUAUCCAUUCUCAUGCCUUCAUCAACACGCAGAUUCACGGUGCUACCUAUGGCCUCCUUUUAUCACCCCCAAACUGGAUUAUUACUCUGCCACUUUAUGUAACAGCCGACGCAGACGGUGGAAUUCACACAGCUAAGAUAACUCACCUCUCCAAAUCGAGAGUUGUUGCUACCUGCAACGGUUUGGAGUUGGAAGCCAAAGGUUACCAAUUCCCUCGUCUUGUGAUUGUGAAUCCUGCAACGAAGCAGUCAUUCCACCUCCCACCAUUGCCUACAGGCGUAAAUGUAAUCUAUGCCGUGCUCCGGUAUGGUUUUGCAUAUUCUGCAGCUUCCUUGGCGUAUAAAGUGAUUGCACCGUACCUAGAAACUGACUACGGUCUUGACGUGCUCACCGUUGGAAUCGAUGAAUCCUGGAGGAACGUUGAGGUUCACCACCUCCCCGACCAUUUCAGGCCAUUUUUGUUCUAUAGGGAUCCCUUGACUAGUGAAGGUUUCGUGCACUGGGGAAGGGGGAGGUACUGUGUGACGAUGGAUGUGGAGACGGAGAUCAUUACACUGAGUGAAGCCCCUUGUGAGUACCAUGAACGCGACUAUUAUUAUCUGUCAACUGGGAGGUGUCUGUCUCUCCUGGUAGCGUGUGGGGAUCUGUCGUGGGAGGUUUGGGAGAUGAAGGCAGAGACGGGCGAGUGGAGGAAGGCGCUGCCCAACGUCGACUUGGGAGCUCAGAAAUGCAGGAUUCAACGUUUAGCUCCUAAAGAUGCUCCUCGAGUUCUUGUGCCACUUGGUUGGGUUAACUAUCCACAGGUUUUGGCCUUCUAUUUUGGCGAAGAUAUUUAUCAUGGGUGCCAAUGGCGGCCUUUCAUUUUCUACAAUCUUGAUACGCAUAAACUCCACUACAUAGAGCUUCCACAAUCCAAUACUAGUGAGUAUGAGGCUUUUCCGCAUAAGAAUAAUCUGAUAUGGCUAAGCUAAAAGAGUAUUAUUGUUAGUAUUAUUGUUUAUAUUUGGUUUAAGUUAAAAGAACUUAUAUAUUUUGGGGCAAUUUUAAAAAAUAUUUUAUGAUGUUUAUUUCUUCAAGACGCAUCAGCUCAUGUUGUCCGAAUAUUUUAUUUUAGUGAAAAGAGUAGUAGUAUUGAAGGUGAUAGAACAUUUAUAAUCACUUUUGAAUGGACACCUAUAACAAUCACAUUGCUAUUGGAUUACAAAUCAGCGUACAUUGUAUUAUGUAAUAGAAGCUCAAAAGUAAGGCAAAGUCAUUUUUGCAAUACAUUAUUCAUUUUACACAUAGUGCUAUGCUAUGUAUGUAGAUCCAUGUGUUGUUGUGCUUAAAUGCGUGAGAUCAGAACAAUGAACAUGCAUGAUUUUGGAGAAAAAGUGUGGACAACAGUGCAACUGUGGAAGGAAAUGUGUUGUUGUGCUUAAAUGCGUGAGAUCAGAACAAUGAACAUGCAUGAUUUUGGAGAAAAAGUGUGGACAACAGUGCAACUGUGGAAGGAAACCUAGAUAAGUUCAUGCUAUAUUUAUAAUGUUUGUAAAUUUAGGUUAAAAAGUAACCAUGAAAUCAAAGUUGAGACUAUAUAUUUUUUGAUAAUAACCCUAAUAAAUAAUGAUUCCUACACGUGCGCUCUGCGUGUUUAUAACACAAAACGAAUGGUAAUAAUACAAGUUGAGCUUAAGACACAAGCUGAAGGAUGCGGGUUCAAACCCUCUUACAAAUGCAAGGUCAAUUACAGGUUACAAAAGCUUAAAUAGAGACGUUGCUCAAGUAACCAUGGCCUUAUGACCAAAGUACUGCACGAAAUCCAAUAACAUUCUAAGGAUUAUUGAGGGUAGAAGGAGUAGAACUGAAGAGCGCAGAAGAUGAAGGAUAUCAGAGCGUGUUGAGGGCGAGGGAAAUGCAAUCUGAUCAGAAGGUGCAAAUAAGAAUGGAAGUUCAAAUACCUUAUCCCUUAAGCAAUGAAUUUUUUUACUUGUCGGAAUUGCAUGGUAAUUUAUAUGCACAAAAACUCCCGUGUAAUCGGUUACACCGUGUAAUCAGGGAUUCGAAUGACACUACUUCAAUAUAUAAAUGACACUUUAAAAUGUUAAAGUGUUAUUUGUAUGUUGAAGUAGUAUCAUUCGAACUCCCAAUUACACGGUGUAACCGGUUACACAGAAAACCACCUGAUUUAUAUGAGUCGGUUUGUUUUGAUAACUGUGUCUCAUGAAAUUCAAUUAUAUCAUAUACGUUUCAAAAUUACACUAUUUGAGAGUUGGUUAAAAUUUUGUUCAAUUGUAUACCAUAAAAAUUGGGGGCUUUUUUGUUUGUGAUAAAAACCAAGUUUUUAAGUCGAGUUCAUUACAUUAAGUUGUCUUGGUGCAUGUUUAAUUAUAUUCAUAAAUACAAUUUGAAUAAAUUUUAGCUUCGACUAAAGGUUAUCUAAACUCGAUUUGCUUGUUUAUAUCAUAUUGGAGACACAUUAUUUGAAGGCCCCCAUCUUUUUAAAUACCAAAGCAUAAAAAAGACUAGUUAUAUAGGCUCUUUAUAAAGUCCAAUAUCGAUAUCGCGAUUGCGUUACUCGGUAUUAAGGAAACUCAGAGCGACACGAUGUAUUUGGGUCUUCCCACGUUUACUUUACCAAAAAAGAAGUUAAAGUUUGAGUAUCUCAGGAAUAUGAUUUAUAAAAAGCUCAGUGGGUGGGAUCACAAGAUGUUCUCUACCGGGGGUAAGGAGGUUCUUAUUAAAUCCAUCCUCCAAUCGAUUCAUACGUACACUACAGCAUGCUUUCGGCUUCCCGUAGGCAUAUGUACUGAUAUUGAGAAAGCUUGUAGGAAUUUUUGGACUGUGUGGGAGAAGCUUUGCCAGCCGAAAUCGAGGGAAGGGUCUUAUAAAGUUUGGCGUAUUAUAAAGAAGCUGGAUUCUUUUCUUGCGAGGGUCUUAAUACACAUAUAUUUUAGGGAUUGUGACAUUAUGGAAGCCACAGUGACUCCGAACUGUUUGUUCACUUCAAGCAAGUGGCACCCUCCACGCCAGGUGUUCUCUGGCUUUAUGUAGCUAUUAAAUUGAGAUGUCGAUGUUGAGGUUAAUUGCGAAUCCUAGACGAGGCUACCAUUGUUGCCCAAUAUGGAAGGUAUCAAAUUUCGUUCUAUUUGCUGCUAAGGCUAUUCGAAAGAUGAAAAUUUUAGAGUUGUGUUUGGGUUUAAUUCAUAUCAUUAAUUUCAAAUAAAAUUUCAGAGUUAAUUUAUUCAAAUUUCAGAAUUAAUUCAUCAAAGUCAACAUUAAUUUGACCACCAAAAAAUUUGUGUUAAAAUUAUUCUGAUCAAUAAGUUAACGUAUUUUUUUGACAUUUUUUAAAAUUCAUAUUAAAAAUUAAAAUUCUUGCAAAGUUUAUAUAUUUAUCCGCUAAUAAUAAUUAAAAAAAAAAUCUUUUUAUUCCUUCCGUCCACGAAACAACUUCCUAUAUUUCCUUUUUGGGACGUCCACAAAAAAAUUUCCUAUCCAUUUUUGGACUAUACCCCACCACUUAUAAUUACUUACUUUUCACUUUUUCACAACUCUCAAUAUUAAUUAUAACACAUUUUCACCUCUCUCAAUACACACAACAACUUUUUCUUUACUCUCAAUACACUCAACAAUAUUUUUUUAAACUUCGUGUCACUCCUCCUAGAAAGUUCUUUCAUGUACGGAGGGAUGUAUUUAUUUGGAUUUGGGCGGGAAACUGCUGGUAUUUAUUUGGACCCACCGCUUCUACUUCAUUUACUCUGACGCCUCGUUUUACACAGUUCACUGAAAAAAAAAAAAAAAAAAAAAAAAAAACUGAAAUGUUUCGUUUGAAACCAGCCUUCUGCAAGCCACGGCCUCCUGCACUGACGAAAGCCAUCCCGACAUUCUUAGUAGAGCGUAAUUAGGUUGAAGCACUCUCCCUCUUAUUUUCCCUUUUUGUGAUAUGCAAAUGACCGUCUUUGAAUAUUAAUUAGGUUAGAGCUUAAAUUCCUUAUGCGUAUACAUUUCAUAAGUAAAGAUCUUGUCUGUGAAAUUUAGGUUAGAGAUUAAUAAUAAGAAAACAUGCGUUUGAUAAGCACAUGGUUGUCUGAUUCUCUGCAUUUCAGAUAUCUACUUAUGUUUUGGGUGGAUAAAACACAUGUAUUUGGGUUAACAGUGUUUCAAAAUUAGGUUACAGCUGAAAUUCCGUAUGCAUAUAUAUAUGUUUCAUAAGAAAAGGUUUUUUAUUUGAAAUUUAGGUUAGAGAUUGAUAUAAAAAGACAUCGAUAUUGAUAUGCAUAUGGCUGUCUUAUUCNAUAUGUUUCAUAAGAAAAGGUUUUUUAUUUGAAAUUUAGGUUAGAGAUUGAUAUAAAAAGACAUCGAUAUUGAUAUGCAUAUGGCUGUCUUAUUCUCUGCAUUCAAGUUUUGGGCAGAUAAAGCAGUUGUAUACAAAUUAGUGAAUUGGUUAUCGAUUGAUUAGUAGAUGAGACAUAUAUAUGACAAUAUCUGUAUUCAAUAAGCAGAUGAUAUGCAUUAGAAGUCGGGCUUUAUUAUUUCCGGAGGUGUAAAAAGGGGAUGCCAACAAAUAUAGAGUCCCUCCCCACAGACCUAUUGUUUGAAAUCCUCCUCCGAUUGCCGGCCGAUCAUCUCUACGAGAGAGCGAGGCUCGUGUGCCGGCGGUGGUACCACAUUAUCCAUUCUCAUGCCUUCAUCAACGCGCAGAUGCACGGUGCUACCUAUGGACUCCUCCUAUCACCCAUAAAGGGUUAUACUCUGCCACUUUAUGUAACAGCCACCACAGACGGCGGAAUCCACACAUCUGAGCUAACUUACCUUUUCAAAAGGGGAGUUCUUGCUACCAACAACGGUUUGGCUCUUGAGAUUGAUUCCAAAUGUUACUUCCUCCCUCGCCUUGUGAAUCCAGCAACGAAGCAGUCACUCCUCCUCCCACCAUUGCCUAUAGGCGUACGCGUAUUUUAUGCCCCGUUCAAGUAUGGUUUUGCAUACUCUGCAGCUUCCUUGGCGUAUAAAGUGAUUGCACCGUACGUUGUUACCCAAUGGGCACCACCCCUAAAAACUGACUACGGUCUUGACGUGCUCACUGUUGGAAUCAAUGAGUCCUGGAGGCACGUCGAGGUUCACCACCUCCCCGACCAUGUCAGGCCGUUUUUCUUCGAUAAGGCUCCCUUGACUAGUGAAGGUUUCCUGCACUGGGGAAGCGGGAGAUACUGCGUGACGUUGGAUGUGGAGACGGAGAUCAUUACACUGAGUGAAGCCCCUUAUGAGUACAAUGAACGCGACUAUUAUUAUCUGUCAACUGGGAGGUGCCUGUCUCUCCUGAUUACGAGUGGGGAUCUGUCGUGGGAGGUUUGGGAGAUGAAGGCAGAGACGGGCGAGUGGAGGAAGGCGCUGCCCAACGUCGACUUGGGAGCUCAGAAACGCAGGAUUAAGCAGUUUGCUCCUAAAGAUGCUCGAGUUCUUUCUAAGCCACUUGGUUGGGUUAAAUAUCCAGAGGUUUUGGCCUUCCAUUUUGGCGCCUAUUUUUAUGGGAAUCAAUGGCGGCAUUGCAUUUUGUACAAUCUUGAUACGCAUCAACUCCACUCCAUAGAGCUACCGCACAACUAUACUAAAGGUUGUAAGGCUUUUCCGUAUAAGAACAGUCUGAUGUGGUUAAGUUAAAAGAGUAUUAUUGUUAUUAUUGUUUAUAUUUGGUUUAAGUUAAAAGAGUUCAUGCAGAAACAUUAUUAUUUAUAACAUUGUUCUUAAAUUAUAGUCCAGACUUUGGUAUUUAUAUUUGUUGUUUAUUUGAUAGCUUGAGUUAUUUUUUGGGGGCAAUUUAAAGGAAAUUUCCGUUGUUUUUCAGCAUUAAAAAAAAUAUAUUUUAUGAAGUUUAUUUCUUCAAGACGCAUCAGCUCAUGUUGUCCGAAUAUUUUAUUUUAGUGAAAUAAUAGUAGUAUUGAAGGUGAUAGAAUAUUUAUUUUAGUGGAACUGUGGAAGGAAAUCUAUAUAAGUUCAUGCUAUAUUUAUAAAUUUUGUAAAUUUAGGUUAAAAAGUAACCAUGAAAUCAAAGCUGAGACUAUAUUUUUUUGAUAAUAACCCUAAUAAUAAUGAUUCCUACAUUGCCGCCGCGGCGUUGUAGGCGUCAUUGUUGUGGAUCCCCAUUCCAACAUUCUUAUAUUUCUAAGCACCCUCAUAUUUUCCCUUGUUGGAUAUGAAGAUGGUUGUCUUUGAAAAGAGAGCAACGCUCAUAAAUAAUAGUUGCAACUCAUGCCUAUAAAUACCACAUAGUUGGAAGCCCAAAGAGACACAUUGAGACGUACCAUUCACAGACCAAUGUUGUAGUUUUAAUUUCGAGAGUUUGUGAAGAGCACUCGCCCCUAAAUCCUCACAAAAUCGAUAGGAGAAUUGGCUACUUAUGCACUGUCAAUGAAUAAAAGAAAGUUAAUAUAAAUGUGUACAAGCCUCAACCUUGGCAGCACCCGCAUCAGCAUGAAAGAGCAAAUAUGGGACAUAUACCAGCAAUCAACCACACACACACAGACAAACAAAAACAAAAAACAAAAUAUCUUCCCUCCUAUACAAGAUUCAAAUGCAGUGCAUUCGCUCGAAAUAAAUACUAAAGUCGAGUAGCAGAGUAAACUCAUUUUUGGAAGUUUGGAAUCUGGUGUUGCUGGCUGCUUCGAUUCUGAUCCAUCCAUCAAUCCACCAACUAUGCCGAUUUCUGCUAAGUUGACCUUCUUGGCUGCCAGGAUUGGAUAUGAAAAGGUGUAUCAGCAAAAGAAAUCAGAACACCUCAUAACCAAAAUUUGAAUAUGAUUCCAUUCAUAAAAGGUUUAGUGUUGAUUAUCUAUGGUUUUCAAAGACUUUCAACGAGAGGAAGUAGUGUCAUGAUAUCAGUGCAGAAAUGCGAUUGAAACUAAAUGGCUUAUGAAAAUCUUCAUGAGUUAUGUUAUGUAAAAUCUCUUUUAUUGAUAAAUUUUGAUGAAAUUUUUUGGGGAUUUCCGAAAUGGUUUCCUACCUUCAAAAUAUGUUCACGAGCUCACGAGCCAAACAUGUACAAGCUCGAGUUCGGCUCGAUAAUUUUAUCGAGCUAGGAUUCGGGCUUGCAUUCGACUCAUUUAGAAAAUGAACGAAUUUCGAAUGAUCUUUUUUCGAGCCGAGGCCCGAAUAAUCCGCGAGCGGUUUAAUUCGUUUACAACCCUACAUUUAAUUACUAUGAUAUGGAAAAAAAAUGAGUCCUGCCAUUUUUACACUAACCUCUUGAUCUAUCUUUCAAAAAUUCAACCAAAGGAUCUAAUAACGCACCAAACAGAAACAAAACUCUCAACGAGAAGCACAUACGAAAGGUAAUUCAAAGAAUCCAACCACUUAGCUUGAAGUCUUGAACCAUGAUCCUAUAUAUGGUCUUCAACAAUCCAUCUCAUAAAAAGUUGAGAAUCAUCCUUCAAAACGGUUCAAACUUUAAGCUAGUAGAAGCCAACAUGACUAUGAUUAACAUUCUACAUCUUAACUUAACCAUACCAGGCAGACACAAACAUACCACGUGAAAUCUCCAUUGCUAAUCAACACUGAUACGAACCUCCCCGUUGACAGAUAAUACAAUGUAUGUUCCGUCAAAGAAAAAGAAGGGAUUAUACUCUUUGUAAGGAUCUCAGUCUCAAUAUCCAAUGUCAAAACGAUUCCCCAAUAUUCACACGUUCAAUGUAUGAAACCUUCUGUAACCAACGGAGAAUUAGACAAAAUAUUCAACACACGAUCCCUUUCGGGAAAGCUGUCAAGCCCAAUGUCUCUCCAAGACUUAUCGACUCCAAAAGUCAGUAUGGCGAGAUAACGCUGCUGGAACCUCCGAUACAAUGUAGUCAAUUUAUACUUGAUGGAACGUGGAGCAAAAUGCCAUACCAAAUCGACUAGCAUGUGGUAGAGCUUUAGGUAUUGUAGGGAUCAUGAAUGAUUGCUUUGUUACGGGAUUUAUAAUGUAUGGAUAUCUAAGAAUGCAGUAUACCUCUAAGCACAAGCAGCAGAGAAGAAGUCCAUAUGUAGAAUCGGAUGUCUCAAUCCGGCGGCCUUGCGUUGCAGUGACGAGAAUUGGAUGAUGACCGCCCCACACUUCACUGCAGCAGAGAAGAAGUCCAUAUGUAGAAUUCUGAUUUUGUGCGUCGACAAAUCAUAAGAAUGGAUAAUGUGGUACCAGCUGCGGCACACAAGCCUUACUCUGUCGUAGAGAUGAUAAGCUGGCAGAUNNNNNNNNNNNNNNNCUAGAGUUUUUGUCCCCGAUCAUCUGCAUAUUAAAAAAAACAUGGAUGUGAGAUUGUAGGUCUAACAAAACUAAUCACUACAACAUAAAAUGCAGGAAGGAAAGGAGUUUUUUAGUUCAUUAUUUCACUACAAAGCAUAGAGUUAUACGCGAAUCGGGGAUAAAUUAUUAGGAAUGCAGAAACAGCAUUUGUUAUAUUAUUAGAUUGUAGAUUUAGCAAAACUAAUCACUCGAACGUAAAAUGCAGGAAUCGAAUGGAAAGGAUGUUUUUAGAGUUAAACGCAAAUCGGCGAUAAAUUAGGAAUGGAGAAUAAUGCUAUUGGUAAAAGUAGAUACAACAAAUUAAGGUGAGAUAUCUCAAUUGGAGAGAUGAAGACGGAUCUAAACUUAAUAAGGCGAAUUUUGAAAGUCAGAGCUUUUGUUAUUCAUUCUGUGAAAAACACAAGCAAAGAAGAAGCAAUAACUUUGAAAUCUUCAUCUACAUUUGUUUCAAAUGGGCAAAUUGAAGAAGAAAUAUAAAGGAGGGUUCGGUCGCUCACCAAUCUAUUUGAAUUUCCUUGUUCGUCUUCACCAAGCAAGCUUCCAUCGCUGCAGCGGCCGGGAGGCGGCGGCGGGCCGAUUCUGGAAAUAAACGACGCAAUGCCCUUUACUUCCAUUUUCGGGUGAGUUUCGCGUGAGUGAGGGAGAAUAUAUACAAACAACACAAAUGAUAUGAGACAAAAACUUUGGGGUGCGGUGCGGAUCGUCUACUGACAGAGUUAAUGGGCCAUUUUUGGCUUUUGGCGGGAAACUGCUGGCAUAUAUUUGGGCCCACCGCUUGUAAUUCAUUUACUCCGCCGCCGCGCUUUACACCGGAAAUUAGAAAAGCUGAAAUGCUUCGACUGAAAAUAGCCUCCCGCAAGCCGCCGCCUCCGCGCCGCUGCUGCACCGACGGCAGCGUUUCGGAUCCCCAUUCCGACAUUCUUAGUAGAGAAUCGGUAAGUCAUAUUUUCCAUUGUUUGAUAUGCAGAUGCCUCUCUUUCAAAAUUAGGUUACACCUCAAAUUCCCAAUGCAUAUAUGUUUCAUAACAAAAUAUUUUUAUCUUUGAAAUUUAGGUUUGACAUUGAUAUGCAUAGUUAUGACAAUAUCUGUAUUCAAUAAGCAGAUGAUAUACAAUAGAAGUCGGCCUUAUUAUUCCCGGAGGUGUAAAAAGGAGAUGCCAACAAACAUAGAGUCCCUCCCCACAGACCUAUUGUCCGAAAUCCUCCUCCGUUUUGCCGGCCGAUCAUCUCUACGAGAGAGCGAGGCUCGUGUGCCGGCGGUGGUACCACAUUAUCCAUUCUCAUGCCUUCAUCGACGCGCAGAUGCACGGUGCUACCUAUGGACUCCUCCUAUCACCCAUAAAGGCUAAAGCUCUGCCGCUUUAUGUAACAGCCGACGCAGACGGCGGAAUCCACACAUCUGAGAUAACUCACCCCUCCAAAUCGGGGAUUCUUGCUACCUGCAACGGUUUGGCACUUGAGUUGCACGCCAGAGGUCAGUACAUCGGUCAACUAGCGAAUCCUGCAACGAAGCAGUUAUUUCUCCUCCCGCUACACCGUAAAGACAUAUGCUAUGCCCAGUUCACCUGUAGUUUUGCAUACUCUGCAGCUUCCUUGGCGUAUAAAGUGAUUGCACCAACCUAUGAUUUCCUCUAUGAACCACACACACGAAAGGACUACGGUCUUGACGUGCUCACUGUCGGAGUCGAUGAAUCCUGGAGGCAAGUCGAGAUUCACCACCUCCCCGACCAUGUCAGGCGAUUUUUCUUCAACA